CCUACGGGUGGCCGCAGUGGGGAAUAUUGCACAAUGGGGGAAACCCUGAUGCAGCGACGCCGCGUGAGGGAAGAAGUAUUUCGGUAUGUAAACUUCUAUCAGCAGGGAAGAAAAUGACGGUACCUGACUAAGAAGCCCCGGAUAACUACGGGCCAGCAGCCGCGGUAAUACGUAGGGGGCAAGCGUUAUCCGGAUUUACUGGGUGUAAAGGGAGCGUAGACUGUUUAGCAAGUCAGAAGUGAAAGCCCGGGGCUCAACGCCGGGACUGCUUUGGAAACUGUUGAACUAGAGUGCAGGAGAGGUGAGUGGAAUUCCUAGUGUAGCGGUGAAAUGCGUAGAUAUUAGGAGGAACACCAGUGGCGAAGGCGGCUUACUGGACUGUAAAUGACGCUGAGGCUCGAAAGCGUGGGGAGCAAACAGGAUUAGAUACCCGAGUAGUC
rnacentral:rRNA from 1 species